GGUUAAGUGAAUAAGGGCGCACGGUGGAUGCCUUGGCACUAGGAGCCGAUGAAGGACGGGACUAACACCGAUAUGCUUUGGGGAGCUGUACGUAAGCUAUGAUCCAGAGAUUUCCGAAUGGGGGAACCCA
rnacentral:rRNA from 1 species